rnacentral:snRNA from 8 species
AUACUUACCUGGCAAGGAAGACACCGUGAUCAAGAAGGCGGUUCACCCAGGGCGAGGCUUAGCUAGUGCACUCUGGCUGUGCUGACCCCUGCGAAUUUCCCAAAUGUGGAAAUCUUGAUUGCAGACUUUCAGGUAGUGGGGUACUGUGCUCUCUGCUGAUCUUG